CUGCCAGAAUUCAUAUGCUUGUCCCGAAGAAUCAAGCCAUGCAUGCCCAAGAGAAAUUUACGGCCUUACUGAUGGCCACGGGUUUCCCACACCGUGGUUGUCGACCUGGUUUGUUAAGGAUUCAGCGAACGGCUCCGCAUAUCUGUUGUCACCUAUCGUGGUAAAUUGGCGUGGAUAGAGCACGGAAAAGCUGUGUAUAACACAGACAAGAUGGGGCAAACGGUGAGCCGGUAGCAUGGCCAGCCGGAUAAAGGGGUUCCCCAGAGCCCUGCCUCUUUAAGAGCUCCCAUGAACCUGACUUAGAGGCCGGCACUUUCAUAGCGCUGCCCCGCGGUCGGGGGAUCGGAGGCCUCUGCUCCAUGCAUUCUGCUGCCCGGAACAAUAAUGUACCAGGUUGGCAGGUGAAAGGCAGAGACUAACCACAAGCGCACGAUGGACUUCAGACCUAUCAGCUAGAUGGUAGGGUAUUGGCCUACCAUGGCUAUGACGGGUACAGAGGAUUAGGGUUUGAUCCUGGAGAGGUAGCCUGAGAAAUCGCUCCCACUUCUAAGGAAGGCAGCAGGCGCGUAACGUUCCCAAUGCUAAGUCCAGUGAGGACGUAAUGGGACAUAACAAUACCUCUAUUAAUAGUGGGUAAUGACAAUGGGGUGGC
rnacentral:rRNA from 1 species